GAUGAACGCUGGCGGCGUGCCUAAUACAUGCGAGUCGAGCGAACAGACGAGGAGCUUGCUCCUUUGACGUUAGCGGCGGACGGGUGAGUAACACGUAGGUAACCUACCUAUAAGACUGGGAUAACUUCGGGAAACCGGAGCUAAUACCGGAUAAUAUUUCGAACCGCAUGGUUCGAUAGUGAAAGAUGGCUUUGCUAUCACUUAUAGAUGGACCUGCGCCGUAUUAGCUAGUUGGUAAGGUAACGGCUUACCAAGGCAACGAUACGUAGCCGACCUGAGAGGGUGAUCGGCCACACUGGAACUGAGACACGGUCCAGACUCCUACGGGAGGCAGCAGUAGGGAAUCUUCCGCAAUGGGCGAAAGCCUGACGGAGCAACGCCGCGUGAGUGAUGAAGGUCUUCGGAUCGUAAAACUCUGUUAUUGGGGAAGAACAAACGUGUAAGUAACUGUGCACGUCUUGACGGUACCUAAUCAGAAAGCCACGGCUAACUACGUG
rnacentral:rRNA from 1 species